rnacentral:rRNA from 1 species
UACGUAGGGGGCAAGCGUUGUCCGGAUUUAUUGGGCGUAAAGAGCGUGUAGGCGGCCAGGGAGGUCCGUUGUGAAAACUCGAGGCUCAACCUCGAGACGCCGAUGGAAACCCCCUGGCUAGAGUCCGGAAGAGGAGAGUGGAAUUCCUGGUGUAGCGGUGAAAUGCGCAGAUAUCAGGAGGAACACCGAUGGCGAAGGCAGCUCGCUGGGACGGUACUGACGCUGAGACGCGAAAGCGUGGGGAGCAAACAGG